rnacentral:rRNA from 1 species
AGAGUUUGAUCAUGGCUCAGAACGAACGCUGGCGGCGUGGAUUAGGCAUGCAAGUCGUGCGCGAAAGAGGGCUUCGGUCCUUGAGUAGAGCGGCGAACUGGUGAGUACAAGGUGACUAACGUGCCCUCACGUGGGGGAUAACCCCGGGAAACCGGGGCUAAUACCGCAUGGUCUCUUUCGUCUACGGACGGGCGAGUAAAGCAGCAAUGCGCGAGAGGAUCGGGUCACCUCCCAUUAGGUAGUUGGUGUGGUAACGGCACACCAAGCCUGCGAUGGGUAGCUGGACUGAGAGGUUGGCCAGCCACACUGGGACUGAGAUACGGCCCAGACUCCUACGGGGGGCAGCAGUCUAGAGGCUUCGGCAAUGGACGAAAGUCUGACCGAGCGACGCCGCGUGCGGGAUGAAGGGCUUCGGCUUGUAAACCGCUUUUCUUUGGGAAGAAGGCCCGGUUCGUGAAAUCGGGUUUGACGGUACCAGAGGAAUAAGCCCCGGCUAACUCCGUGCUAGCCGCCGCGGUAAUC